AGAGUUUGAUCUGGCUCAGAACGAACGUUGGCGGCGUGGAUUAGGCAUGCAAGUCGGGGGAAUCCCAGCAAUGGGGGAACCGGCGUAAGGGGCAGUAAGGCAUGGGUACCUACCCUAGGGUUCGGGAUAGCCAUCAGAGAUGGUGGGUAAUACCGGAUGAUGUCGUGAGACCAAAGAUUUAUCGCCCUUGGAGGGGCCCAUGUGAUAUUAGCUUGUUGGUGAGGUAAUGGCUCACCAAGGCAAAGAUGUCUAGCGGGUGUGAGAGCACGACCCGCGCCACUCGCACUGAGACACUGGCGAGACACCUACGGGUGGCUGCAGUCGAGGAUCUUCGGCAAUGAGCGCAAGCUUGACCGAGCGACGCCGCGUGUGCGAUGAAGGCCUUCGGGUUGUAAAGCACUGUCGAGGGGGAGAAAGGGGAAACCUUGAUCUAUCCCUGGAGGAAG
rnacentral:rRNA from 1 species